UUUUCUUUUUUUCUUUUUUUUUCCUUUUUUUUUCUGGUGAUUGCUUGAAGGUCUGAUCACAUUAAAUAGGAAGCUUGGCUCUUACAGCACUGGUCCCACCAAACCUUUUUCUCUUCCAAGGCAAAAUUUGGCCUUCAUGCUCAUGUGGACCCAUGCUACUACCUUUGAAGAUCAGCACUGCUAGUACAAGGAGGCAACUCCACUCUUCAUGAACAAGGGCAGCACACCUCCUGUACCAGCCAAAUGGUAGUUCAAGGGUGGAUGAAGGUGUGCCAUAGCUGGUUAUCCCCACGCCAUAUCUGAGUAAUUGACUCGCAGAUUUUGCACUCAGCCAUCCUAUGUUGCAGUUUGGACCACUUCUCCAGUUUUUCAAGAUGGCCUCUGGAGAAGCUUCCUUAUCCUGAAGUAGCACACAGCAGAAGAGCCAUGGAGCAUGGUUCUUUCUAGCCCGAGCUGCAGCAUGAGGCACAGAAGGGGCAGGACACAGGAAAGGAGAUGCUGUUACAGUACCAGGGUAUUCAGGAGUGGCAGAAUGGAAAGAAGAGACCAUCUUGUACUAUCCAACAGGAUAUUUUGUUAAAACUGACAUGGGGAUUGCCAAUGCCUUGCUUUCAAAACUGGGACGUUAAAAAGUACUUCACAUUAGGACAGCGUUUAUUUUGUUCUUCAGUGGAAAAAGAACCUGACUCGUCUGUGAGUUGUCCUCACGCUUUUGUCUGCUUUUGCACUGGUAAAAUUCCACUGACGUCAGCCGUAGCAAACCUUCGUGCUCGGUGUACGUGUGAGAAAGAAGAGAAUCAGGGUCAUGCUAAACAAACAAAUGUCAAUCAUCAAGAAAUAAGUGUUUAUUUAGACUGCUUAAAGGAAAGAUUUCAAACUGCUCCCCGCGGCAGCGCAGCGCUGCUUGUUGCCUCUUCUCGAGUGGCCAAGGAGGCUGCAGUGCGGUGAGGAGAAGUCGGCCAAGUCAGGGCUGGAUCCCAGCUUACCCAGCUGCCCCGCGCUUUUACAGCAGCAACCACUGCCAAGACGCUGGCCAGGAGCCUGUGAGCUUUGGGGCUGGCCAGCCCUGUAACCCAGGACGGGGUUGUCCCCUAGAGACAUACCCACAGGAUCUUCGAACACCAGGCCCAGAUACCGCCUGCAGGGCAGCAGGGGCACCCUGGGCACAGGAGAAGGAGGGCUCCUCUGCUGCCUUUGGGCGGUUUUGGCAUCACUUUACAACGCCAUCAGAUUCGUUUACACAAGGUACCACUGCACGUGUGACCUGCACAGCUGACUUACUCCCAUUAGUGCCUCUCAGGCAGGACAGGAGCUACCCUGGCGUUAGCAGGACUCUGGCACGAGGGACAGUCAUCUUUAGUCAGAGGUAGAGUCAGGACCUGCAGCAUUUCGCAGCCUUACAGUAACGCCGUGCCUUUCCGCUUCGGUCACACAGUUUUUGAAGCAGUGAUUUUUUUUUUUUUAAAUUUUUCUUCUGGAACUAAAACAGAUGCUUUUAAUGAGGAAGCAGAGCCCUUGGGUGCUGCAUCUUUUCAACCAGAUGACGGGGUGGCUAGAGCACACCUCUCUUAUGAGGGUAACUUCUGCCUUAUCUCUAAAGUAACACGUUCGCCUGAUCAACCAAAUCUGAAGAUACAUUUUAAAAUCACCGUAUUUUGGUUUCAUGAAAUUCACUACAUCUUUAGACAGUUACUAUUUCCCCCUAAGCUGCAAUAUGAUUUUAUUUAAUAAACUUCUCUUUCACCUUUGAUGGCGUAGUCCC
rnacentral:lncRNA from 1 species